UACGGAGGGUGCAAGCGUUAUCCGGAUUCACUGGGUUUAAAGGGUGCGUAGGCGGACAGGUAAGUCAGUGGUGAAAUCUCCGAGCUUAACUCGGAAACUGCCUUUGAUACUCUCUGUCUUGAAUAUGGUGGAGGUAAGCGGAAUAUGUCAUGUAGCGGUGAAAUGCUUAGAGAUGACAUAGAACACCUAUUGCGAAGGCAGCUUACUACGCCUAUAUUGACGCUGAGGCACGAAAGCGUGGGUAGCAAACAGG
rnacentral:rRNA from 1 species